rnacentral:rRNA from 1 species
UAGGGAAUCUUCCACAAUGGACGAAAGUCUGAUGGAGCAACGCCGCGUGAGUGAAGAAGGAUUUCGGUUCGUAAAACUCUGUUGUAAGGGAAGAACAAGUACAGUAGUAACUGGCUGUACCUUGACGGUACCUUAUUAGAAAGCCACGGCUAACUACGUGCCAGCAGCCGCGGUAAUACGUAGGUGGCAAGCGUUGUCCGGAAUUAUUGGGCGUAAAGCGCGCGCAGGCGGUCCUUUAAGUCUGAUGUGAAAGCCCACGGCUCAACCGGGGAGGGUCAUUGGAAACUGGGGGACUUGAGUGCAGAAGAGGAAAGUGGAAUUCCAAGUGUAGCGGUGAAAUGCGUAGAGAUUUGGAGGAACACCAGUGGCGAAGGCGACUUUCUGGUCUGUAACUGACGCUGAGGCGCGAAAGCGUGGGGAGCAAACAGG